CGAGGUUCACAAGUUGUGUACUGUGACUGUGUGCAAUUUUUAAUAAGUCUAUGCAUAUUAGGCUGUUCUAGAUCUAUAUAUAUGUGUCAAAAGUGUCUUCAGGUGGAGUAACUUACAAGUUUUGUUUUCAAAACCUGGAAUCUGACUGAAAUAGAACUAGAUGUACGUGUGCCACAAGCCUCAGGAAACUUAAAUUGUGUUGUGGAUAAAUUAGCUAUAGCAUAGAUCUCUCUAUUCUAUAUAUAUUAUAGACCAAAACAGUAUCGAGCGAUAACACGCUAAUAUUUUGGAUUAAUUAUUGAUUAUUAGGUAAGUAAAAAUUUAUGUUACUUUUAACUAAUGAUCCAGCCAAUGUCAAGAGUUCUCUCUCCUUUAAUUGAAAAGUAUUUCUUUCAAAAAAA
rnacentral:sRNA from 1 species